rnacentral:rRNA from 1 species
UACGUAGGGGGCAAGCGUUGUCCGGAAUCACUGGGCUUAAAGGGCGCGUAGGCGGGUUCGCAAGUCUGUGGUGAAAGCCUCCAGCUUAACUGGAGAAGUGCCAUGGAUACUGCGCAUCUUGAGGAGGGUAGGGGCGUCUGGAACGGUCGGUGGAGCGGUGAAAUGCGUUGAUAUCGACCGGAACUCCGGUGGCGAAGGCGAGGCGCUGGACCCUUUCUGACGCUGAGGCGCGAAAGCCAGGGGAGCAAACGGG